AAUGCCAAUGGGGCUUUGUGCCAACGAGAAAAUCAGUAGAGAGUAUAACAGAAUGAGGAGGAUGGCCAGAGUGGUUGUGGGGGUGACGUUUUACACAGGGAGGUCAAGGUGACAUUUGAGGAGUGGCCCCAAAGAAGUAAGGACACAGACCUGUGGGUACGUGAGCGCAGAAACAGCCCAGGUAAACGGCCCCCGAGGGAACUGCCCCGGCCAGGUCCACAGGUGACAGGGAGAGGAUUCAGGAGAAGAGAGAAGAGCCGAGAUGCCACGAAGCCAGUGUGUGCCUGGAAGGAUACAGCAGACGAGGGCUUGCGAAGUGUGGUCGAGAUUCUGUAUUUUAUUCCUAGUGAGAUGGAAGGAUGCUGAAGGGAUCCGAGCAGCGAAGUGAGGGAAUCUGACUGGUAAUUCAGAACCCAGGGCGCAGAAGUGGGGCAGGGAGGUAGGGUGGGAAAAUAGAAGGUGGGAACCUCCGCAGUUACGGUUCUGGGGACAAGGCAGUCCCAUUUGUGACGUGCUCUGCGGACAGUGGGGUGGCCUGGACAUUCGACGGAAGGCAGCAGGCGUACUGCCGUGGAGCCGGGGCUGGCCUCAGAGGGGGAGAAGGGUCGGGAGUUUGGACCUGCUGAGCCUGAACUAAAAGUGAAGCUAUCCGGGACACAGCCGGGACCCAGUGUGCUCUCCAGAGGGGCAGGGGAUCUGGCAGCAGGCGCAGAACAAGCUCUUGGGAGAAGUUCCGCCCAACGUCAGAGCGGGAACACGAGGGCACCCAGGGAGAAGUGUUGGAAAGCGGCCCUCCGAGAGCACGGGGCUGCACGUAAUGCCGUCUGCCUCGUCGUGACAGCAUGAAACCCUCACAAACGUGAUGCCCGAGCUUGGACUUCUCAGCCUCCGAAACGACACUCCCAAGAAUGUUUAGAGAACUCCAAGUAGUCAAGCUGCAACCAUGAGCCCUAUAAAACCAGCAGAAGGGCAUCACAUGCCGCACAUUCACAAGAACCGAUGGUGUCUUGUGUGAAGUCUGGAAGCCGGAUGGCCUUUGUAUGUGUAGAGGCAGACAACUGAUAGGCAUCUGCAGACAGCUUGCCCAGGAGCAGAGAGCAGAUGUUCAGUGAAUCUCCAUGUCUUUCAUAUCCCUUCCCUGGAUGUCUGUACUCAGUGGGAGAGCAGAGACCUGCGUGCUGGGCUCUCUAUUGCACUCCCAGAGCCCACGACAGCAUCAGUCACAAGAUAUGUGACUCAAAGCAACUCGUCUCUCUAUAAGCCUUGAGCUAAGCCUUGACUUCCAGACUGGCCAUCCGCUGACUACAUUUCAAGAAGCUAUGCUGGCCCAGGAGAACCCUGUCAACACAGCUGUAUUCCUUGUCCAUUAAUUACACUGUAAAUGUAACAAAGAAUUUUAUGUAUUGCUCACCACAAAUAUUUUUACCUAGACUUAUUGAAAGCUACUCUAACAUAAAGUCGGGGACCAAUCUCUG
ensembl:lncRNA